AGUCUUCUUGUGCACCUUCUGCUUGCCUCCAUAGCUGCUACCUGCUCGAUCAGGAUAAGGGGAAUGCCUCCUUAGUGGAGGAUUUGAGGAGAGGGGCUUUAUCUCUUGGGGACAAGCAGCUCUUGUCCCCUCUCUCAAAGGAAGAACUAGAAGGGAUGGGAGCUCUCUACAUCUUCAAGGCCACCUUUGUUUAUGAGGAACUCUCUUCUAGGUCUCAAGGGGCUCCCUCUAUCCCUACGAACGAUGCCUAGAAGCGAAUAUUGGAGGAUAUAAUAAAGCGCUAGGAAAGUAAGAAUGCCAAACUGAGCAAGACCAAGAAGGAGAUGACGAGCCGCUGCCAACAAUUGGAGAGGGGGUGAGGGAACUGUAGAAGGAGGUAGUCGGUCAUGGGAGCGCAUUGUAGAAGGAGGUGAAGAAGGCAGUGAUGAAUUUUUCUCAUUUUAAGGAGGGCAAGAAUUAUCUAGAGACCUUCCGGGAGAGCCGUAUGAAGGAGUUUAAGAAGUCUGUAGAGUAUGAGUAAGAAGUGAGCAAGAUAAUGGGGCCUUCUUUGAGCAUGGCUUCACAGCCUGCAAAGAACAAUUCCAGGCUCAUGGGUACCCCCUUCCAGGAGUGCGCCCGACCCCUUUGUCGAACCCUCCAUCCUAGGAAAGGGAGUCAUCUCCCUAGAUUCAGAAGGAGAUUUGGCAUAGUGGGAGGUUGAGGCCGAGAUAAGGAGUCCCCCAGAUGAAGCAGCAGUUGAUGUCAUAGUGGGGGAUCCUCAUGGAAAAGUUGGCCUAGAUGAGAAGGAAGAAUGACCUCCUCUGGCCACUGAUCCAACUCCCCCUACCACCCCAAUGCCUACUAUUGAUGCUCCUUCUAAAAAAGAGACAGAAGACUCAACUUGUGGGGAGAAACCUGAUGAUGUAAUGUGACUACCAGUUGGAUGAAACAAUAUUUUCUUUCUAUGCUUUGCUUGCUUUUCCCCCAUUUGAAAUGGGGAUGAGAUGAUUUUAAUUUUCGGUUCUGUCUUGGAUGCUUUCUCUAGUUUGCCCCUGGACACAAUUUUAGGCCAAGGGCUUUGAAAUGCG